rnacentral:rRNA from 1 species
AUUGAACGCUGGCGGCAGGCCUAACACAUGCAAGUCGAACGAGUGGCGGACGGGUGAGUAAUGUCUGGGAAACUGCCCGAUGGAGGGGGAUAACUACUGGACACGGUAGCUAAUACCGCAUACCAUCGGAUGUGCCCAGAUGGGAUUAGCUUGUAGGUGUGGUAACGGCUCACCGAGGCGACGAUCCCUAGCGGGUCUGAGAGGAUGCCCAGACACACUGGAACUGAUAAACGGUCCAUGCUCCUACGUGAGGCAGCAGUGGGGAAUAUUGCACAAGGGGCGCAAGCCUGAUGCAGCCAGGCCGCGUGUAGGAAGAGGGCCUUCGGGUUGUAAAGUACUUUCAGCGGGGAGGCGUUACUCGCAGAAGAAGCGCCGGCGAACUCCGUGCCAGCAGCCGCGGUAAUUC